GCAGGGGAUAACACUUGGAAACAAGUGCUAAUACCGUAUAACACUAAUAACCGCAUGGUUAUUAGUUAAAAGAUGGUCUUGCUAUCACUAAGAGAUGGUCCCGCGGUGUAUUAGCUAGUUGGUAAGGUAAUGGCUUACCAAGGCAAUGAUACAUAGCCGAGUUGAGAGACUGAUCGGCCACAAUGGGACUGAGACACGGCCCAUACUCCUACGGGAGGCAGCAGUAGGGAAUCUUCCACAAUGGACGAAAGUCUGAUGGAGCAACGCCGCGUGUGUGAUGAAGGGUUUCGGCUCGUAAAACACUGUUGUAAGAGAAGAAUGACAUUGAGAGUAACUGUUCAGUGUGUGACGGUAUCUUACCAGAAAGGAACGGCUAAAUACGUGCCAGCAGCCGCGGUAAUACGUAUGUUCCAAGCGUUAUCCGGAUUUAUUGGGCGUAAAGCGAGCGCAGACGGUUAUUUAAGUCCGAAGUGAAAGCCCACAGCUUAACUGUGGAAGUGCUUUGGAAACUGGAUAACUUGAGUGCAGUAGAGGAGAGUGGAACUCCAUGUGUAGCGGUGAAAUGCGUAGAUAUAUGGAAGAACACCAGUGGCGAAGGCGGCUCUCUGGACUGUAACUGACGUUGAGGCUCGAAAGUGUGGGUAGCAAACAGGAUUAGAUACCCUGGUAGUCCACACCGUAAACGAUGA
rnacentral:rRNA from 1 species